rnacentral:SRP_RNA from 1 species
GCCGGGUGUGGUGGCGGGCGCCUGUAAUCCCAGCUACUAGGGAGGCUGAGGCAGAAGAAUUGCUUGAGCCUGGGAGGCGGAGGUUGGAGUGAGCCAAGAUUGCGCCACUGCACUCCAGCCUGGGUGACAGAGCAAGACUCUGUCUCAA